rnacentral:rRNA from 1 species
CCUACGGGGGGCUGCAGUGAGGAAUAUUGGUCAAUGGGCGCAAGCCUGAACCAGCCAAGUCGCGUGAGGGAUGAAGGCUCUAUGGAUUGUAAACUUCUUUUAUAAGGGAAUAAAGUGCGGGACGUGUCCCGUUUUGUAUGUACUUUAUGAAUAAGGAUCGGCUAACUCCGUGCCAGCAGCCGCGGUAAUACGGAGGAUCCGAGCGUUAUCCGGAUUUAUUGGGUUUAAAGGGUGCGUAGGCGGGCUGUUAAGUCAGCGGUGAAAGUCUGUGGCUCAACCAUAGAAUUGCCGUUGAUACUGGGAGGCUUGAGUAUAGUUGAGGUAGGCGGAAUGCGUGGUGUAGCGGUGAAAUGCUUAGAUAUCACGAAGAACCCCGAUUGCGAAGGCAGCCUACGAAGCUAUGACUGACGCUGAUGCACGAAAGCGUGGGGAUCAAACAGGAUUAGAUACCCGAGUAGUC